rnacentral:rRNA from 1 species
GACGAACGCUGGCGGCGUGCUUAACACAUGCGAGUCGAACGGAAAGGCCCCUUCGGGGGUACUCGAGUGGCGAACAGGUGAGUAACACGUGAGUAACCUGCCCUUGACUUCGGGAUAACUUCAGGAAACUGGGGCUAAUACCGGAUAGGAAUCCUUGCUGCAUGGUGGGGGUUGGAAAGCUUCGGCGGUUUUGGAUGGACUCGCGGCUUAUCAGCUUGUUGGUGGGGUAGUGGCUUACCAAGGCUUUGACGGGUAGCCGGCCUGAGAGGGCGACCGGCCACAUUGGGACUGAGAUACGGCCCAGACUCCUACGGGAGGCAGCAGUGGGGAAUAUUGCACAAUGGGCGGAAGCCUGAUGCAGCAACGCCGCGUGCGGGAUGACGGCCUUCGGGUUAUAAACCGCUUUCAGCAGGGGCGAAGCUUGUGGUGACGGUACCUGCAGAAGAAGCACCGGCUAACUACGUG